UGGGGAAUAUUGCACAAUGGGCGCAAGCCUGAUGCAGCAACGCCGCGUGAGGGACGACGGCCUUCGGGUUGUAAACCUCUUUUGGCAGGGAAGAAGCGAAAGUGACGGUCCCUGCAGAAAAAGCACCGGCUAACUUCGUGCUAGCAGCCGCGGUAAUACGAAGGAUGCAAGCGCUAUCCGGAAUUAUUUGGUUUAAAGGGUGCGUAGGCGGACUAAUAAGUCAGUGGUGAAAGCCUGCAGCUUAACUGCAGAAUUGCCAUUGAUACUGUUAGUCUUGAGUACAGUUGAGGUAGGCGGAAUGUGGCAUGUAGCGGUGAAAUGCUUAGAUAUGACACAGAACACCGAUUGCGAAGGCAGCUUGCUAAGCUGUAACUGACGCUGAGGCACGAAAGCGUGGGGAGCAAACA
rnacentral:rRNA from 1 species